UGGCUCUAGCAUCGAUGAAGAACGCAGCGAAACGCGAUAAGUAGUGUGAAUUGCAGAAUUCAGUGAAUCAUCGAAUCUUUGAACGCACAUGGCGCCCCCCGGCAUCCCGGGGGGCAUGCCUGUCCGAGCGUCGUUUCAACCCUCGAGCCCUACGUGGCCCGGCGUUGGGGACCUACGGCUCCGGCCGCAGGCUCCGAAAUCCAGUGGCGGACCCGCGACGGCCCCUCCUUUGCGCAGUAGCAUCAGCCUCGCAUCGGGAGCCCGCGGGCGCUCCGGCCUCUAAACCCCACUUUAAAGCCCGUCUCCGGCGGCACCAAGGUUGACCUCGGAUCAGGUAGGGAUACCCGCUGA
rnacentral:misc_RNA from 1 species